ensembl:lncRNA
AAAAGGACAGGAGGGGAAAGGAAAAGGAAAAAGGAAAGGAAAAAGAAAAGGAAUAAGAAAGGGAAAACGGAAAAGGAAAAGGAAAAGAAAAAGGAAAAAGAAAAGGAAAAAGGAAAAGGACAGGAGGGGAAAGGGGAAGGGAAAAAGGAAAGGGAAAAGAAAAGGAAAAAGAAAAGGAAAAAGGACAGGAGGGGAAAGGGAAAGGAAAAAGGAAAGGAAAAAGGACAGGAGGGGAAAGGGAAAGGAAAGGAGGGGAAAGGAAAACGGUAAGGAAAAAGGAAAGGAGGGGAAAGGGGAAAGGAAAGUAAAAUAAAAUGGAAGUCCUCUACCUGCCCUCAAAGGAGCUGCAGCCCCCCCAGUGCUCAGCCUAUGUUGGCGUUCAGCAGCACAGUCUGCACUGCAGUGCUUUGUCCCACCAGCCAUGAGCAGCAGCCCCAUGCACGGAGCUCAGCAGGGAGCACUGCUGCUUUCUACACCUCUCUGCACCCCUGCUUUGAGGCCCAGCAUCCAGCAGGCAGCAGAAUUUGGUCCUACCGUUUCAGUAGCGGUGGAUCAGCCCUCAAGUCCCACGGGUCACUUCUGAAGGCUGCACUCCGUUUGUGCAUCAUGCAACUGAAAGCUACUACAGAAGCAAGUGAAUAACCCAGUGAAAACACAGCAGCCCCUCGUUUAUUACAGAAAGCAUCAAUUAAAAGCCAUCAUAUGAUUAAAAACCCAGCACAGGGCCACUCGAGGUGGCUGUUAAGGUGCAGUGGCUGAAGGUGUUCCCUCCAUCAGUGCUCUGAUUGGCUCACGAAGAAUUUUGGAAGUUGCUGCCUUAAGCUUGAAAAGACAGAAGACAAAAGUGAAGGACAACCACUGAACUCCCCUUUAGCUGCCGUCAUCUCCUCCUAAUACUUCAUCAACUUCGUUUCUCUUCACAUGGAGCUGCCCUGCUGAAUCAGGCCCACGGCACUGGGAGACGACGUUUGGGAAGCAGAAACUGAUCACUUCCUUCAGCAUAAAUGGUCUUAACAGCCUAAAUCAUUUCAGGCAAGGCUCUGUGAUAAAUCCUCACCUCACCCUCUCUCCUCUUUUUUUUCUCCCACCAAGAAAAAUCUUUACUAUUAUAAUGCAAAAGAAACCUGUGUGAAUUGCUCCCUGCGAAGCUCAGCCUGUAAACAAGAUUGUAGCAACAAGGGAACAAGUCAUGGCUCCUUUUCAGGCAUCCCUGCAGUAAUCUGCUUUUGUCCCCAUGAUGCAGGGCACGUGCUGCAGGGCCCCAUGCGAGGGCCUCGUGCAGAGCCCAACAGAGGAAUUACAACAAAGGAAACCUUUUGUUCCCAUAGAAUAGAAGCUGUCCUGAUUUUUCAGACCUUUCUACCCAAGUGCGCUCCUGGCAAGGCAGGGAGCAGGACUGGGGAGGGCAGGAGGGCUGUGCUGCAUGGGCAGCCAGCUGAUCGCUUUCAUUACCUGCAGAAUAGCACCUGCCUCCUCUGUUUCUCUGCCUCUCUCCCGGUCCGCAUGGAGCUGGGGAGCACAGCACUCCCCCACCUUCUUUGGCAGCUGAACCACGGCUGAAGGCACCGCAUGCUGUAGAACAACAGUGGGAGGGCAAUUGGAAAGAGAAAGUAGACGGUGAGAUCUCAAGCUCUCAAAUACCACGUUGGUCAGUGCUGCACACACUGCUGGCUCUGCACGGAGCAGCCUCAGAGGGAGAGAACUGGCCCAGGAAAGCAUAGCCUGCCUUCACGCACCUUCCUAUGCACACUCAUGGUCCAUCCUACCGCUGCAGGAGCUGGGAAACACACAGCCUGGAUGCCUUCUUUAUAGCACUGAAUGGGUGCCCUAUGGAGCAGUUUACCAAUGCAAGCCCAUUGCUCCUCCUUUGCUAUGUAUGCAUAGCUUCCCCAGGGGUUUUUGCUUCCUUCUUCUAUUACUUUUUAAGGUAGC